rnacentral:misc_RNA from 1 species
UUUCCGUAGGUGAACCUGCGGAAGGAUCAUUAAUGUAUAACCGAGGGGCGAGGGCUGGCGCGGACGCGAGAGGUCGUGCACGCACGAGUGACAUAACACAGAUCUAUCGAACCGCUAUGUGAACAACCGUGCGGGUCCCCCUUUGGCCUGUUCGGAGGGGGGAUGACGUUUUGACUAAAACGAUGUAUGAAGUGUAGAAUGUAUUUUUUGUUUUUGCGAUCACGCAAUCAAUACAACUUACAACAACGGAUCUGUUGGCUCUCGCAUCGAAGAAGAACG